rnacentral:rRNA from 1 species
CCCAGACUCCUACGGGAGGCAGCAGUGGGGGAUAUUGCACAAUGGGGGGAACCCUGAUGCAGCGACGCCGCGUGGGUGAAGGAGCGUUUCGGCGCGUAAAGCCCUAUCGGCAGGGAAGAAGGAGGACGGUACCUGACUAAGAAGCCCCGGCUAACUACGUGCCAGCAGCCGCGGUAAUACGUAGGGGGCAAGCGUUAUCCGGAUUUACUGGGUGUAAAGGGGGCGCAGACGGCAGCGCAAGCCAGGAGUGAAAGCCCGGGGCCAAACCCCGGGACUGCUCUUGGAACUGCGCGGCUGGAGUGCAGGAGGGGCAGGCGGAAUUCCUGGUGUAGCGGUGAAAUGCGUAGAUAUCAGGAGGAACACCGGUGGCGAAGGCGGCCUGCUGGACUGCGACUGACGUUGAGGCCCGAAAGCGUGGGGAGCAAACAGGAUUAGAUACCCUUGUA